rnacentral:rRNA from 1 species
AUGGACAAGGCAGAGGUGGUCCUUCGACAAAUGGUUGGUAAUGGUGUUCGACCGGAUAUUUUCACAUAUACUAGCCUGAUCCAUGGAUAUUCCAUUUCGGGCCAGUUUGAAGAGGUCGUUAGGUUGUUGGAAAAAAUGAGAAGUCAAGGUGUCAAACCAACUGUUUUUACUUGCAACACAGUCAUGGACUACCUUUGCAAGCAUGGAAGAAUCAAAGAAGCUGCAGAAUUUUUUUAUUCCAUGGCUGAGAAGGGUCAUAAACCUAAUACAGUCUCAUACGCUAUUAUGCUUCAUGGGUACGCUAAAGAAGGAUCCCUUGUUGAUAUGACUAAUCUCUGUGAGCUGAUGGCUGGAGAUGGUAUCAUACCCAACAUCUGUAUUUUCAACAUAUUGAUUAGUGCAUAUGCUAAGUGUGGAAUUAUGGAUGUGGCUAUGCUUUUCUUCGAAGACAUGUUGAAGCAGGGAGUGAACCCUGAUGAAGUCACGUAUUUAGCUAUGAUAGCUGGGUAUUGCAGUAUGGGCAGUAUAGUAUUAGUAAGUCUGACGUGUGCUAAGAUUUCAGAAUAUAACAGAAGUUAG